rnacentral:lncRNA from 1 species
AAAAUUAUGAAAAAAAAAAUCACUUAACAAUUAUUUUUCUAUUUCUCCAACGGAAAGGCCUAUUUGACAGCAAAGAUACUAUUAUAACCUUUCACCGAGGCUUAUUGGGCACCACUCUGUAGAGGUAUCACUUGUUUCAAAACACAAAUUAUGUCUUCUCACUUAAGUCUACCCAAAUCCUAUUCUAGUUAACUCAGAUCUCAUGUUCACACAGGCCAGACUGUAGUUAGCACUGAACCUGUCACCUUCUAAGAAGUUCCUGUUUCUCAUACCUGAAGUUAACUUUCUGAAGUUUGUAUUCACUUAGGCUGCCAUAUGGUAAUUUUCCAGAACUGGCACCAAAAUUAUCAAUUAAUGUAAGCACUCAGUGGCUGUUAAAAUAUUAAGGAACUGGAAAAGGAUACAAGUUGAAUAGCAGCUGUUCACACAUUCUUGUUUUCCUAAUUCUUGUGUAGAGAAAGAUACAUUUGCAUACAGACAACUAUUCUUGGUGAAGGGUUACACUGCAUAAACUCUCACCCUGCAUCUGAGGGAGAUUUUGCAUGUGACCAAGAAAUCCUUCCAUCCCAGUAACAGCAACUGCUACUGGAUAAUCACACCAUUGGCCCAGUAGCACUGGUUUUUUUCCCGUCAAGGUUGGUACAAAAAUCACUCAUCCACUAAUCAUCAGAAACAUCAGCUCAGCAGUACAGAGCAAGCUAGAGAUAAAAAUCCCCUCAUAUUCAUGACCUGCUUAUUCAUUCUACUGCUCACUUCUGCAGCGUUCUGCAAACCUAAUCCAUGUGGAAAACGUUCUGUGGGGUACUCACUCACAGGGCCCAUGGACGGCCAGGUGAAGGGGAGCCCCAGUAUUACCUGCUUCUGUUUGAACCCGAUGCAAAGAGGAUGAGACAUGUUCACUUUUCUACUUCUAAUCAGUUUUUAGACAUUGUCAAGACUGACUUCCUUUGCAUGUGAUUUUAGUUUCCUAUUAAUUGAAAAUGUGCUUUUAAGCCGCUUGAAUGUACUGUCAGUUACUGAAGCACAUGUGACUAAGUCUGCAUUUGUCAGUAUUGUUCUACUGUAUUACAAUCUCAUUUUAAGGUUGACACUUAACACUGUACCAUACCUUGUAAUUUUUUAGAUUCUUCACUUGUAUGCUUUAAAUGUUUCC